CACCAAGAGACCCUCCAAUUUCCACUCCUUCACCUUUCCUCUUCCACCAUCAAUUCUCCCACCCAAGAGUCACACAAAUUAUUACUUUAGCCCUUCAAUCUCUUCCUCACAUUACACUACACCAAAGAAAAAAAAAAAAGAGAGUGAGAGAGAGACGAAGAGAGAGCCGAGAGAGAGCAAGAGGAGGAAAUUCCCACCAUUCUUGUCCAUCCACCACCAAGUCCAACCAUUCUUGAGAUGGUUCGCACGGCCGCUAAAGACGGAACGAGAAGCUACUUAAGGAAAACUCUAAGCUUUUGAGGAUAAUGUCCUACUAGACCUUGAUGGUUAACGAAUUCGG